GUUAGAGUUAACGACUGCCAAAAUCCUGAAUUCAAGAUUUUGGAAGGCCAAAAUCCUGAAUUCAGGAUUUUGGCCCUCCAAAAUCUUGAAUUCAGGAGGAUUUUGGCCCUCCAAAAUCUUGAAUUCAGGAUUUUGCAACUCUAACUCUACGCUAUAACAAUAUGAAGAUAACUCUAAUAGUAAGCUGUCCCCCAGAGGAAUUCGACUAAUUCGGCAAAUGAAACAUCUUCGGUAACCUUAAAAGGAGUCUUUCAGCCAAUAUCAUCAUGGCUAAACUGACCAAUCACUUUCAACGGACCAGAUCGACUUAUAACACGAUCGACUGACUGGCAAGUCGAGCACUGUCUGUCGCUUUCGAGUGGUAUACCAAGGAAUAUCCCACGAGACACUUGUAUCUUCUUGGUAUACACACUCGGCUAAAGGCUCGUGUUUGUACCGAAAAAAAUUAAGUGUCUCGUGGGAUAUAAUUAUUCCAUAAAGGGGUCACUGUUCGGCCAUUUCAGUUCAGUCCAGUCCAGUAGCAAAAUUCGUACAUUGUCCAUGUCAUUUGAAACCCUGAAAAACUCAAUCCAAACAAGUAAGUUGUAGGGCUACAGCCCUUCCUCCUCCUCCACGGUCCCUGAUUUCAUAUGGGUUUCGUACAUAUCUUUCAGUAGCCUGAAAUGCCGAUCAUCUCCCACCCUCAGCUUAAUCCCCUGGAGAUUAGGCUGAAGGCGGAAGAUGACUGACAUUUCAGGCCAACCUGUCAGCAUCCUGGGAGACCAAGGGGCAGUUAGAAAAUAUCGCGUCGACCGAGAAUAUUGCGUCGUCACGACUAACUCUAACUGCCCCUGGGUCUCCGAGGAUGACCUUUCAGCUAGAGGUUCCAAGCGCGAGUGCUGGAAAGCCUCUAGAGCCGACUGUAGGAGAGGAUGACCAGCAGUUUCCUUCUCAAAUUCAAGAUGGCGGACGGGUCAGUCAGAGCAAACUCUUGAAGAAGUGAUAAAAUCUAUCAAGCACGUGAUUCUAGUUGUCCGGUAAAGGAGGAGUUGGUAAAAGUACUGUUACGACACAGAUAGCAGGGACUCUUUACAGCAAGCGCAAAGGAAAGAAGGUUGGCAUGCUGGAUCAGGAUGGUGUCUUGACUUAUGUGGACCAAGCAUUCCAAGGAUGAUGAAUUUAGAGGGAAAAGAUAUACACUGGGUAAGUCAUAACAUAAAGGAUUGUCUUCGUAAGCCAUUCCGUGGGAGCUAUCCAUAUACUUUAAUUUACAAAAGGUCUAGAUAGCAGCAGA